rnacentral:rRNA from 1 species
UGAGUAACCUGCCCUUAACUCUGGGAUAAGCCUGGGAAACUGGGUCUAAUACCGGAUAUGACUCCUCAUCGCAUGGUGGGGGGUGGAAAGCUUUUUGUGGUUUUGGAUGGACUCGCGGCCUAUCAGCUUGUUGGUGAGGUAAUGGCUCACCAAGGCGACGACGGGUAGCCGGCCUGAGAUGGUGACCGGCCACACUGGGACUGAGACACGGCCCAGACUCCUACGGGAGGCAG